GGGGAGAAGAAAGAGGAAGAGAAGGACGAUCCUCUCUCUCGUUCUUGAAGAAGGGGGACCAGCGGCUAAGGUGGCAACCGAACGGUUGUCCUUCCCUCGAUGGAGGUGACGGUUAGAGAGGAGAAGCUCCGGCUUGGAUCGGGCCGUUCCAAGGAGAGGAAUAUUCGAGAAUAACAGAAGGAUAUAAAAGAGAGAGAACGGUCUCAAGGGAGAUUUUCUUUCCAGGUUCGGAUCGGUUUCACAGAGAGAGAAAGGAUUUUUUUUUCUUGGAUUCGACUGGUCAAGGGUUUUAGAGAGAUUUGAGAGAGAGAGGAGAGGUUCAUAUUUUUUAGGAAGAAGAGAAGGGAGAGAAAGAGAGGACGAGAAAGAGUAAGGGAUGGAAGGAGGAGGGUGAGCCUCGGAUACUCGAUUCUCAAAGAGGUUCUCGUCCACAGUCCGCCUGGGAUUUCAGGCACUGAAAUGCUCCGCUGAUUUAUUCUUCGAUUCUGAAAGACAACAGCGGUUUGCAAGUUCGAUUCGUUUGCCAUCUGCAAGAAUCGAGGUUAUAAGAUCAUGCGCAAAAAAGAUGCUAAAUGGGAGGAUCCAAUGCAAUCUAGAUACCAGUUUACUCAUGGAUCGAUUCACAUGUGAUCUAGGGCAAGAUGGGAAGAAAUUUCACUGAAGCAAUCAAGGGAAAAUGAAGAAUUUCACCUCAAGUUAAAAGAUAGACCAAGAAAUUGAGUAACAAAGACAAAUUGGAUACGGGAGGACUUGCGCAAGUGUAGGGGCAUAAUGGUAAUUUUAAAAGAUGAAGAGUUCACCGGAACAUAUUGGAUAUUGGGCUUGUUGCGUUCAUGAUUUAAAAUGAUGCAUCUUUAAUUCUCGGUUCGAGUCAAUCCGGAGUUAGGAUGGAGAGAUAUAGCCCAAAAAAUGUUUUGGGCUAAAUUAGAAUUUAAGUUAAAUUUUAGAAUUUCCAAAAAUUAAUUAUGUAAUCUCUCUCCUCUCUCCUCUCUCCUCUCUCCUAUACAUAACUCUGUCUUUCUUAUUCCUAUUUCUGCUUGAUUUCUUCA